GAGAGAGAGAGAGGUGCGCAUCUAUGAGAAUGGAGUAGGAAAAGAAAGUGGGGGAAAAUGGCAUUCUUUAAAUCUCUCUCUCUCUCAUUAAAUUUCAUGAUUUUUCCCAACCAUUUUCAAAAAGCACAUAGUUUCUCCUUCAAAAAGAACCUCUCCAGUCAAGAAAGGCAUUGUCUAUUCCUACAUGAGGUCAAGCUAUCUGGCUAGUACCUACUAACUUGGAAGUUGCUUUUGCUCAUCUUUCUGCUGGUUGGCCAAAAUCAGAAUCAUUUCCUAGCCUUGAAGGCUCUAGAAGAGGUGAUUGCCUUCUUUUAGGAUGUUUUAAGGCUAGAGUGCAGAUGCAUUGUCAAAAGUAUGUGUAGAAGCUAAAACUGCUUAUCCGAGUGCGACUUUAUAGCUAUCAAGAUAGAAAAAUGGAUCGUUGAACUCUAGCUCAUGCUAGCCUUUCAUUCACUUACAAAACAGAGGAGAAGAGCGAGGCUAUAGAAUAGUGUGAAUUGGCUGCUUCUUUCAAUAACGUGCUUAUUCCUUUCUUUUAAGACUACAUCCACAGCUUCACACUUGCCAAUUGAGUCUGUUGGCUAGUUUUGAUCACCUUGAAUUCGAUUUCUCAUAUGAGAUAGAGGUAGAUGAUAUAAGGUUCAAUCAUGUUCCAAACUUGAAUUGAG
rnacentral:lncRNA from 1 species